UACGGGGGGGGCAAGCGUUGUUCGGAAUUACUGGGCGUAAAGCGCGCGCAGGCGGCUCUUUAAGUCUGACGGUGAAAUGCCGGGGCUCAACCCCGUGCCCGCCGCGGAUACUGGAGGGCUGGAGACACGUAGAGGCAAGCGGAAUUCCGGGUGUAGCGGUGGAAUGCGUAGAGAUCCGGAAGAACACCGGAGGCGAAGGCGGCUUGCUGGGCGUAGUCUGACGCUGAGGCGCGAAAGCGUGGGGAGCGAACAGG
rnacentral:rRNA from 1 species